UAACAUGUAGCUUUUCGUUUCAAAGGCACUCAACCACCAACUCAGCCACCAACUCAGCCACCUACACCACAACCACCUACCCAACCACCGAGUCAAGGCAUGAACACCGAUUUCAACACUUUGGGGGCCUGGAGACAAGCAACAAAUGACAAAUUUGAUUGGACACUUCAUUCUGGAUGUACGUCAUCAUCAGCAACAGGAGCAUGCGCUGACCAUUCUGGAUCAGGAAAGUAUGCAUACAUCGAGACUUCGAGUCCUCGUGUAUCAGGAGACAAUGCAAGACUUACCUUCAGUGGAAAUUACGAUGGAGACUUGUGUAUGACAUUCUACUAUCAC